rnacentral:rRNA from 1 species
AGUGGCGGACGGGUGAGUAACGCGUGAGAAUCUGCCUUGGGGUCGGGGACAACCACUGGAAACGGUGGCUAAUACCGGAUAAGCCGAUUGGUGAAAGAUUUAUUGCCCGAAGAGGAGCUCGCGUCUGAUUAGCUAGUUGGUGAGGUAAGAGCUCACCAAGGCAGCGAUCAGUAGCUGGUCUGAGAGGACGAUCAGCCACACUGGGACUGAGACACGGCCCAGACUCCUACGGGAGGCAGCAGUGGGGAAUUUUCCGCAAUGGGCGAAAGCCUGACGGAGCAAGACCGCGUGAGGGAGGAAGGCUCUUGGGUUGUAAACCUCUUUUCUCAGGGAAGAAGCUCUGACGGUACCUGAGGAAUCAGCCUCGGCUAACUCCGUGCCAGCAGCCGCGGUAAUACGGAGGAGGCAAGCGUUAUCCGGAAUUAUUGGGCGUAAAGCGUCCGCAGGUGGCGAUUCAAGUCUGCUGUCAAAGCACGGGGCGUAACUCCGUAAAGGCAGUGGAAACUGAAUAGCUAGAGUGCCGUAGGGGUAGAGGGAAUUCCCGGUGUAGCGGUGAAAUGCGUAGAGAUCGGGAAGAACAUCGGUGGCGAAAGCGCUCUACUGGACGGCAACUGACACUCAGGGACGAAAGCUAGGGGAGCGAAUGGGAUUAGAUACCCC